AAGGGAGACCUAAUUCGGGUAUAAGACGAAAAAAUAGUAGUCGAAACCAAGAAUCAAUCCCAAAAGGUCGGAACGAGGUAUGUGGCUUUCAAACUAGGUUCUGGGUUCACAAAAGACCUGAAUCAGGAACAAGGGCUAUUAGCUCAGGUGGUUAGAGCGCACCCCUGGUAAGGGUGAGGUCCCUGGUUCGAGUCCAGGAUGGCCCACCUGCACAGGUGGCAAAAACAAGAGAAGCGAGGAAUCAGCACCUUAUCUUACUUAUAUAGUAAGAGAGAAUGCUGGCUCUGAGUAAAGAGUCCAGAGGAACCUUGAAAACUGCAUAGAGCUAGGUGAAAAAGCCAAAAAAGAAGACCGCAA
rnacentral:tRNA from 1 species